rnacentral:rRNA from 1 species
UACGGGGGGAGCAAGCGUUGUUCGGAUUUACUGGGCGUAAAGGGCGCGUAGGCGGCCACCGCAAGUCGACUGUGAAAUCUCCGGGCUUAACCCGGAAAGGUCAGCCGAUACUGCGGGGCUAGAGUGCAGAAGGGGCAACUGGAAUUCUCGGUGUAGCGGUGAAAUGCGUAGAGAUGUGGAGGAACACCAGUGGCGAAGGCGACUCUUUGGCCUGUAACUGACACUGAGGCGCGAAAGCGUGGGGAGCAAACAGG